CCCCGCUCAGUAUUGCCCAGAGGUUUGGGCAAUGUGAUCCUCUGGUCACAAGGAGCCCUUUGUCACCCCUCCAAGUGACCAGUAAUGUGAUCCUCUACCGGCGCUGGUGGCUUUCUCUUUCUCCUUACCGGAAAAGACUGAGUUGCUGAGAAGAGGAACAAGUGUGAGCUGUUGUUUAAUGAACUGGAGGCCUUGAGUGAUAGCCAGGAUCUGUCCUUGUUUGAUUCCUCUAAGCCCUCAGCUUCUCCUCAAAGCCUGAGGAGAAAGCAG
rnacentral:lncRNA from 1 species